GGAAUAUUGGACAAUGGGCGAAAGCCUGAUCCAGCCAUGCCGCGUGUGUGAAGAAGGUCUUCGGAUUGUAAAGCACGUUAAGUUGGGAGGAAGGGCAGUAAGCGAAUACCUUGCUGUUUUGACGUUACCGACAGAAUAAGCACCGGCUAACUCUGUGCCAGCAGCCGCGGUAAUACAGAGGGUGCAAGCGUUAAUCGGAAUUACGGGGCGUAAAGCGCGCGUAGGUGGUUCGUUAAGUUGGAUGGGAAAUCCCCGGGCUCAACCUGGGAACUGCAUCCAAAACUGGCGAGCUAGAGUAGGGCAGAGGGUGGUGGAAUUUCCUGUGUAGCGGUGAAAUGCGUAGAUAUAGGAAGGAACACCAGUGGCGAAGGCGACCACCUGGGCUCAUACUGACACUGAGGUGCGAAAGCGUGGGGAGCAAACAGG
rnacentral:rRNA from 1 species